rnacentral:rRNA from 1 species
CGGCGGACGGGUGAGUAACGCGUGGGUAACCUGCCUCGUACAGGGGGAUAACAGUUGGAAACGGCUGCUAAUACCGCAUAGGCGCACAGUACCGCAUGGUACGGUGUGAAAAACUCCGGUGGUAUGAGAUGGACCCGCGUCUGAUUAGGUAGUUGGUGGGGUAACGGCCUACCAAGCCGACGAUCAGUAGCCGACCUGAGAGGGUGACCGGCCACAUUGGGACUGAGACACGGCCCAA